rnacentral:rRNA from 1 species
GACGAACGCUGGCGGCGUGCCUAAUACAUGCAAGUAGAACGCAGUCGCGAACGGGUGAGUAACGCGUAGGUAACUGCCUCAUAGCGGGGAAUAACUAACGGAAACGAUAGCUAAUACCGCAUAAUGUGAGAUGUACCUGCGUUGUAUUAGUUAGUUGGUGAGGUAAAGGCUCACCAAGGGGACGAUACAUAGCCGACCUGAGAGGGGUCGGCCACACUGGGACGGCGACACGGCCCAGAGUGCCUCGGAGAGGAGCCGUAGGGAUACGUGGGGAAUGGACGGAAGUCUGACCGAGCAACGCGGCGUGAUUGAAGAAGGUUUUCGGAUCGUAAAGCUCUGUUGUUAGAGAAGCGGUAACUACCCAGAAAGGGACGGCUAACUACGUGCCAGCAGCCGCGGUAAUUC